ACAAACGCUGGCGGCGUGCCUAAUACAUGCAAGUCGAACGGGGAAAGCUUUCGGGUGAGUACUAGUGGCGCACGGGUGAGGAACGCGUGGAUAAUCUGCCUUAGAGUGGGGGAUAACUAGUCGAAAGAUUAGCUAAUACCGCAUAAGACCACGAGAGCUGCGGCUUUUGAGGUCAAAGGUUUUUCGCUCUAAGAUGAGUCCGCGUAAGAUUAGCUAGUUGGUGAGGUAACGGCUCACCAAGGCGACGAUCUUUAACUGGUCUGAGAGGAUGAUCAGUCACACUGGAACUGAGACACGGUCCAGACUCCUACGGGAGGCAGCAGUAGGGAAUAUUGCACAAUGGAGGAAACUCUGAUGCAGCGACGCCGCGUGAGUGAUGAAGGCCUUCGGGUCGUAAAGCUCUGUCGCAGGGGAAUAACACAAUGAAGGUACCCUGUAAGAAAGGAUCGGCUAACUUCGUG
rnacentral:rRNA from 1 species